rnacentral:rRNA from 1 species
UACGAAGGGGGCUAGCGUUGCUCGGAAUCACUGGGCGUAAAGCGCACGUAGGCGGCUUUCUAAGUCAGGGGUGAAAUCCUGGAGCUCAACUCCAGAACUGCCUUUGAUACUGGAAGCUUGAGUCCGGGAGAGGUGAGUGGAACUGCGAGUGUAGAGGUGAAAUUCGUAGAUAUUCGCAAGAACACCAGUGGCGAAGGCGGCUCACUGGCCCGGUACUGACGCUGAGACGGCGAAAGCGUGGGGAGCGAACAGG